UAAACUAGGCAUUAGAUACCCUAUUAUUCUAAAUUAAAAUAAAAUAUAUUAAAUAUUAAAUGUAAAACAUUAAAUUUAAAUAAUUUGGCGGUAUUUUAGAAAGUUAGAGGAAUCUGUUAAGUAAAUGAUAUUCCACGAUAGGGAUGUCCUAAUAUAUUUUUAUAUAUUGUUGUAUUAAUAUUAAUUUAAAAGAAUUUAAUAGAGAUUCAUUAUAUUGGAUUAAUUCAAAUCAAAAUGUAGAAUUGUUAGGUUUAAAUGGGUUACAAUUUAUAAAAUAAAUUGGAAUUUAAUUUUUAAUUAAUUAAAUAAAAGUGGAUUUAAUAGUAAAUUUAUAAAAUUUUAUAAUUUGAAUUAAAUAUAAAAUAUGUACAAAUUGCCGUUCAUUUUCAAUA
rnacentral:rRNA from 1 species